CCUACGGGAGGCAGCAGUGAGGAAUAUUGGUCAAUGGUCGGGAGCCUGAACCAGCCAAGCCGCGUGAGGGAUGAAGGUACAGAGCGUCGUAAACUUCUUUUGUCGGGGAACAAAGGCGGGGACGUGUCCCCGGAUGAGUGUACCCGAAGAAAAAGCAUCGGCUAACUCCGUGCCAGCAGCCGCGGUAAUACGGAGGAUGCGAGCGUUAUCCGGAUGUAUUGGGUUUAAAGGGUGCGUAGGCGGUCUGGGAAGUCAGCGGUAAAAGCCCGGGGCUCAACCCCGGCGAGCCGUUGAAACUGGCAGUCUCGAGUUGGAGAGAAGUAUGCGGAAUGCGCGGUGUAGCGGUGAAAUGCAUAGAUAUCGCGCAGAACUCCGAUUGCGAAGGCAGCGUACCGGCGCCGCACUGACGCUGAGGCACGAAAGCGUGGGUAUCGAACAGGAUUAGAUACCCGAGUAGUC
rnacentral:rRNA from 1 species